AUUAAGAAUAACUGGUUUAGAAUGUGGAGAAAGUUCAUGAACAAGACUGGAAACCAGAACCCCAGUUGCAGAAAGAACCCUCCCACAGCCUGACAGGUUCAUUAUUUAUUACAGUGUCCCAGCUGAGACAAAAUUGGAAUGCAAGCCACAGUCCUUUGACCAGCAGCAACAGUGUCAUCAGGGAUCUGAACCUGCUGCAUCUGAAUCUGCAUUUUAACAUAAUGUUCUCAGGUAAUACAAGGGACUUCCAGGAAAUAAAGGACACCUUCCAGAUGUAAUCGGCAAAACCCAGAAGAUACACUCAGAAGAGCUUCUGGAUGAAAGAAUGUGAUUGGAGAGGAGGGGAACGUGGGUGAGCAGUAUAAAUGAAACAAGGUUGGUCAUGAGCUAAUAAUUAGCGGAGGUAUUGCAUUAUACCAGCGAUUCUCAAAGUGUGGUCCCUGGACCAGCAGCAUCAGCAUC